GACAGAGGCCUCAAGCGUUAGGCGGAAUCACUGGGCUUAAAGCGUGUGUAGGCGGAUCGUUAAGUGUCUUGUGAAAUCCCACGGCUCACCCGUGGAACUGCUGGGCAUACUGGCGAUCUUGGGCCAACUAGGGGCAACUGGAACAAGCGGUGGAGCGGUGAAAUGCGUAGAUAUCGCUUGGAACGCCAAAGGUGAAAACAGGUUGCUGGGGUUGUGC
rnacentral:rRNA from 1 species